UACGUAGGGUGCAAGCGUUGUCCGGAAUUAUUGGGCGUAAAGAGCUCGUAGGCGGUUUGUUGCGUCGGCUGUGAAAUCCCGAGGCUCAACCUCGGGUCUGCAGUCGAUACGAGCAAACUAGAGUGUUGCAGGGGAGACUGGAAUUCCUGGUGUAGCGGUGAAAUGCGCAGAUAUCAGGGAGGAACACCGGUGGCGAAGGCGGGUCUCUGGGCAACAACUGACGCUGAGGAGCGAAAGCGUGGGGAGCGAACAGG
rnacentral:rRNA from 1 species